rnacentral:rRNA from 1 species
GAGUAAUACAUAGGUAACCUGCCCCUGUGCGGGGGAUAACAGGAGGAAACUCCUGCUAAUACCGCAUAGCCAUGAGCACCGCAUGGAGCUCAUGCCAAAUAUCCUUUCGGGGAUAGCGCAGGGAUGGACCUAUGGCGCAUUAGCUUGUUGGCGGGGCAACGGCCCACCAAGGCAACGAUGCGUAGCCGGCCUGAGAGGGCGGACGGCCACAUUGGGACUGAGACACGGCCCAGACUCCUACGGGAGGCAGCAGUAGGGAAUUUUCGGCAAUGGGGGAAACCCUGACCGAGCAACGCCGCGUGAGCGAAGAAGGCCUUCGGGUCGUAAAGCUCUGUUGUAAAGGAAGAACGGCGCAUACAGGAAAUGGUAUGCGAGUGACGGUACUUUACCAGAAAGCCACGGCUAACUACGUGCCAGCAGCCGCGGUAAUACGUAGGUGGCGAGCGUUAUCCGGAAUCAUUGGGCGUAAAGAGGGAGCAGGCGGCCGCAAGGGUCUGUGGUGAAAGACCGAAGCUAAACUUCGGUAAGCCAUGGAAACCGGGCGGCUAGAGUGCGGAAGAGGAUCGUGGAAUUCCAUGUGUAGCGGUGAAAUGCGUAGAUAUAUGGAGGAACACCAGUGGCGAAGGCGACGGUCUGGGCCGCAACUGACGCUCAUUCCCGAAAGCGUGGGGAGCAAAUAGGAUUAGAUACCCUAGUAGUCCACGCCGUAAACGAUGGUCACUAAGUGUCGGGGGUCAAACCCCGGUGCUGCAG